AUCAAUUACUCAAGUAUAAAAAUUGUUCCUCCACGCAACUUCUUCAUCUACCAUUGAAUAUGUAAAGAAAAUUGUAGUUAUUAAACCAAAGUUUUUAACCGUCCCCAAUCCUUCAACAAUUCAUGUUUCAUCAUUAUCGUUUGUUCAAUCCAACCUUUCAUCAUCGCAUUGGCCAUCUUCUUUCUCUACUAAAAAGGUAUGAUUGUGAAUGAAAGGAAGAGAGAGUGUCUCAGAGAAAACGGAGAAUAACGUGAAUGAUCGGUUUCAUUCUAUACGAGAGUUUAGGGGCGACUCAAACAGAUUUAAAAAAUCUAGGGACCAUUUGCCAAACCUGCCUCGUAAACCAAUAAUAUUAUUCGAUACUUUUUUAAGUUCGCGGGAAUAUCCAUGGAAGGUUGACACGUGGAGAUUUGAUGACCGUUGCGGCUGGAUAGGAACUAUCUAAAGGAGGGAUGAAUGUGACGUGGCGAUGACGAGGUGGUCAUCUUUUUUAUUUUAUUUUAUGGGAAACGGUGAGACUUAUCCACACAUCGAACAUGGGACCCACCAUAAAUUUCUUCCAGCCGACAGUAUUUCCUCUUCCUGUCGAUUUUUUAUUUAAUUCUUUAUUGAGGAAAACUUUCUUCCAGCCGAAUAAUUUGUUUCAAAUUAUGGCAAAAGGUUUGUUUCACAUUUAAUUAUCAAAUGUCCUCCUCCUUACCAGUUACCAGUUUUGGAAGAUUUAUGUUUAUCUUCUUCUAGAUUCGGUUCAUUAUUUUAUGUUCUAAUUUUUUUGAAGAUUUUGUCAUUAUUACUUUUAUAGGUGGAAGUGUGGAACGCAAAAAACCUGAUACAAUAAUGACCGAUUAUGCCACUUCGGCAAGUUAUCAACGAAAAUCCACAGUAAAAAUAUGUAUACUGUUUUUAUUCUAAAAGUAAGGAAUAAACAAAUUAUACUUCAAGCUUAGUUUAUUUCAAACUUAAUGGAAAAAUUGAUAUGAAACUUCAUUGUAAUACAGA